rnacentral:rRNA from 1 species
GAGGAACGUAUAGCAAUAGCUACUUGCAUCAUUGUACAGACAUGCAAGAUCGACUAUGUCGAAUAAAAUUCUAGGUAGAAUUAUGAUAAUGACAUUGUCUGCCUAUGUGUCUUGACCAAAUUACGUGCCAGCAGUCGCGGUAAUACGUAGAAGACUAGUGUUAUUCAUGUUUAAUCGGUUUAAAGGGUACCUAGACGGUAGAUCAAGCUUUUGCAUAUAAAUUAUGCCAAUUAAAGGACUAAUUUGCUAGAGUUACUUACGAGGGGGUAUUAAAGUACUGCUGGUGUAGAGAUGAAAUUCUGUUAUACCUCUUUUCGAAAGAAAAAUCAUGGCACAGGUAUAGGCGAAGGCAUCCCCUUAUGUGAUAACUGACGUUGAGGGACGAAGGCUUUUUGUAACAAACAGGAUUAGAUACCCUAGUAGUUGAAGCAGAAAAUGAUGAAUGUCAUAGAUUAGAUAUAUAAGUUUAUUCUAUAAAUGAAAGUGUAAGCAUUCCACCUCAUGAGUAAUUUGGCAACAUUGGAACUGAAAUCAUUAGACCGUUUCUGAAACCAGUAGUGAAGUAUGUUGUUUAAUUUGAUGAUCCGCAAAAAACCUUACCACAAUUUGAAUAUUUAUAUUUUUUUAUUGUUUUCUUCUUAAUUUUCUUCUAAUAACAUAUUCAACAUGUAAAAAGAAGAAAGUUAAUAAAGAGGCAAUAAUAUAUAUUUACAAGCGUUGCACGGCUGUCUUCAGUUAAUGUCGCGAGACUUUGGUUAGUUCCAUUAAAUUAACGUAAACCCUUACUUUAUUUUUAUAUAGAGUAGUUCCCCGCUAUAUUGGAUAUGAUAACAGGGACUAAGACAAG